rnacentral:rRNA from 1 species
UCCUUAGAUGUUCUGGGCCGCACGCGCGCUACACUGAUGCAUUCAACGAGUCUAAAACCUGCUCUGAUAGGGGUGGGUAAUCUUUUGAAUGUGCAUCGUGAUUGGGAUAGAUGAUUGCAAUUUUUCAUCUUCAACGAGGAAUGCCUAGUAAACGCAAGUCAUCAGCUUGCAUUGAUUACGUCCCUGCCCUUUGUACACACCGCCCGUCGCUCCUACCGAUUGAAUGAUCCGAUGAAUAUCAUGGAUUGAGGAUUAUAGCAGGUUCGCCUGUCUUGAUCUUCGAGAAGUGAAGUAAAUCUUAUCAUUUAGAGGAAGGAGAAGUCGUAACA